rnacentral:rRNA from 1 species
AUUGAACGCUGGCGGCAGGCCUAACACAUGCAAGUCGAGCGGAUGAAGGGAGCUUGCUCCUGGAUUCAGCGGCGGACGGGUGAGUAAUGCCUAGGAAUCUGCCUGGUAGUGGGGGAUAACGUCCGGAAACGGGCGCUAAUACCGCAUACGUCCUGAGGGAGAAAGUGGGGGAUCUUCGGACCUCACGCUAUCAGAUGAGCCUAAGUCGGAUUAGCUAGUUGGUGGGGUAAAGGCCUACCAAGGCGACGAUCCGUAACUGGUCUGAGAGGAUGAUCAGUCACACUGGAACUGAGACACGGUCCAGACUCCUACGGGAGGCAGCAGUGGGGAAUAUUGGACAAUGGGCGAAAGCCUGAUCCAGCCAUGCCGCGUGUGUGAAGAAGGUCUUCGGAUUGUAAAGCACUUUAAGUUGGGAGGAAGGGCAGUAAGUUAAUACCUUGCUGUUUUGACGUUACCAACAGAAUAAGCACCGGCUAACCUCGUG